rnacentral:rRNA from 1 species
UGUGCACAACAUCAACUGAUGGCUUACAAGAUGAAAGGGGUCUUCAAGGGCCUCAGGGUUAUUACUCAAAUCUUUGUGGUGAAGGAGCAAGAGAUGGAGAUUGGUCAUCCCAUAGACGUGAAGCAUGUCGCGCAUAUCGGUUGGGAUAGCCCAACGGGAAGUGCUGCUACUUCUCCUACUCCUAGCUGGAUGAACGACAUGAAGGGUACGCCGGACAUUUCAACCUUGAGCAAUUCCGGACCAUCUACAGGUACCUCCUGGAGUUCUCAAGAUUUUGACCAUCCUCGAGAUACAUCAACCUAUGGUAUACUUCCAGAAAAUAGUAGUCCGGGAUCAACACCGUACCCUGACAUACCAAAGCCACCCCGAAAGGCUAGAAGGAAGAAAUCUACCAAGGACAGUUCACCAACGGCAUCAUCAUCGAGAUCAUCAAGGUCAUCAAGAUCAAGAUCUAAGGGCUCACUUUCAUCCACUACACCUGACACCAUUGGUGCCAAUGAUAUUCAAUGUAAAAUCCGGAUUGUGUAG